UACGGAGGGUGCAAGCGUUAUCCGGAUUUACUGGGUUUAAAGGGUGCGUAGGCGGCCCGUUAAGUCAGCGGUGAAAGCCUCCAGCUCAACUGGAGAACUGCCAUUGAUACUGGCGGGCUUGAGUACAGACGAGGUUGGCGGAAUUGAUUGUGUAGCGGUGAAAUGCAUAGAUACAAUCAAGAACACCGAUUGCGUAGGCAGCUAACUAGGCUGUAACUGACGCUGAGGCACGAAAGCGUGGGGAGCGAACAGG
rnacentral:rRNA from 1 species